ACGCCUAACACAUGCAAGUCGAACGAAGUAGCAAUACUUAGUGGCAGACGGGUGAGUAACAUGUAGGUAUCUGCCCUUUGGCCUGGAAUAACACGAGGAAACUUGUGCUAAUACCGGAUAAGUCUUUACGGAGAAAGCUUUAUGCACCAUUGGAUGAGCCUGCACUUGAUUAGUUUGUUGGUGGGGUAAUGGCCUACCAAGACUUUGAUCAAUAGCUGAUUUGAGAGGAUGAUCAGCCACAUUGGGACUGAGACACGGCCCAAACUCCUACGGGAGGCAGCAGUGGGGAAUCUUGCACAAUGGAGGAAACUCUGAUGCAGCGAUGCCGCGUGAGUGAAGAAGGCCUUUGGGUUGUAAAGCUCUUUCGUCGGGGAAGAAAAUGACUGUACCCGAAUAAGAAGGUCCGGCUAACUUCGUGCCAGCAGCCGCGGUAAUACGAAGGGACCUAGCGUAGUUCGGAAUUACUGGGCUUAAAGAGUUCGUAGGUGGUUGAAAAAGUUGGUGGUGAAAUCCCAGAGCUUAACUCUGGAACUGCCAUCAAAACUUUUCAGCUAGAGUUUGAUAGAGGAAAGCAGAAUUUCUAGUGUAGAGGUGAAAUUCGUAGAUAUUAGAAAGAAUACCAAUUGCGAAGGCAGCUUUCUGGAUCAUUACUGACACUGAGGAACGAAAGCAUGGGUAGCGAAGAGGAUUAGAUACCCUCGUAGUCCAUGCCGUAAACGAUGUGUGUUAGACGUUGGAAAUUUAUUUUCAGUGUCGCAGCGAAAGCGAUAAACACACCGCCUGGGGAGUACGAC
rnacentral:rRNA from 1 species